UAUUGGACAAUGGGCGCAAGCCUGAUCCAGCCAUGCCGCGUGAGUGAUGAAGGCCUCCCGGCCCUGUAAAGCUCUUUUGGCGGGGACGAUGAUGACGGUACCCGCAGAAUAAGCCCCGGCUAACUUCGUGCCAGCAGCCGCGGUAAGACGAAGGGGGCUAGCGUUGUUCGGAAUUACUGGGCGUAAAGCGAGUGUAGGUGGUUGUCCAAGUUGGAUGUGAAAGCCUUGAGUUCAACUCAAGAAAUGCAUUCAGGACUGGAUGGCUAGAGGACCGGAGAGGAUAGUGGAAUUCCCAGUGUAGUGGUGAAAUACGUAGAGAUUGGGAAGAACACCAGUGGCGAAGGCGGCUAUCUGGACGGUUUCGACACUAAGAUUCGAAA
rnacentral:rRNA from 1 species